UUUGAGCAUUGUUUUUGUAUAAAGUGUUCAUUUAGCCAUGCUUUGCCUUUCUUUUUGUGGAAAUCUUAAUUUUACACUCAGCAGUUACACUUGCAGGCAUGCGAACCGAAUAUAUAUUUUAUAGUUGAGGGAUUUCGAAAUAGUUGACAGGCGAUUAAUGACUGGUAUAAUCGAGACCAUGUCAGCGCCACAUUUCAACCGGCUGUCUGUUCAGCUGACCAGAAUGAAAGAAAAUGGGCACCUGUUGGACGCAAGCAUUCCGACACAGACUACCAGUGUUGCUUUACACAGGCUUGCGAUUGCAUUGUUUUCACAAGAGAUACGACACAAGUUGAUCCGAACGGGAAAAUGUGACCUCAGCUUAGUAGGUUACAGUCAUGCAAGUGUAGACAAUUUGGUAAAAUUUCUGUACGGAGAAAAUAGAACUAUUGGACCAGAAUGCGCUGAAAUAAUUCAAACUCUUCAUCUGGAUUGGACAUUUGAUAAAACCAUGCCCAUUAAUUUAGUUUCUGAAAACACAGUAGAAGAUGCUAAUUUAGAUUUGAAAUACAUCAGGAAUCGUUCCUUUGAAACGGAAGUGCCAUUGCUACUAAAAGCCCCAAGAACAUAAGCAGACGUCAAAAUAAAAAUUGCAAUACAUAUACAUAGAUGCCACUAAGUUAUAUUAUCAGCAAUGUCAGAAUACUUUGAAGUUAUCUUUUCUUCAGGAAUGAAAGAAGCUACAGAUGAAAUUAUAACUCUUCAAGGGAUCAAAAACAAUGUCUUAAAGGAAGUAUUAAAUUUUAUGUAUACAGGCCAUAUCUCCGUCAACAGUGGAAAUGCACAGAAUAUUUUAUCAACAGCGGUAUAUCUUCAGAUAGCUUCAUUGCAAAGUCUUUGUGAACAUUUCUUACUUCCGACUAUUGAUAAUACCAACUGUGUUGACCUUUGGAAAUUUGCUGAAACUAACAACUGUGUUCUUCUUCAAGCAGGAUGUUGGGACUACAUACUGGACCACUUUAUUGAAAUAAAUAGAUUAUCAUAAUAUAUAUAAUUAUAUUAUUUUAAUUGCGAUUGGUAUGUUGAGAUUGUAAGUGAAGCUUAUAAUAAUAAUUUUCUUGAAAAACAUGAUUUCAUAUGCUGUGAAUUUUUUAUUGAAAAAAAAGUGCUUAAAAUAAAAAAAAAUCUCCUUUUUCAUAAAAAAAGUAAACUAAUUCACAAUCAGUACAUUUAUUCGGGCCUUUUGCUGAUGUAUUGGUGAAUUUCGCAUGCAAUUGUACCCGUUUUUGCCAUAAAAGUUACACGUAGCAAUAAUUGGAGACACACAAUAAGCUGUCGUCACUUAGACUAAAAAUCAUGCAUUCCGACUUGGUUGCGCCCAAUUUAGUCACCGCUUUAAAUGGCCAUUUUAAGGGUUUUACCCCCAUCCAAAUGCACUGACAUUGCAUAUUCAUUGUGGAAAUGGUUCAAAUCUCUUGUGGAGAAAGUUUGAAAAAGAUGAGUUCCCUUAAAGGUUACAUUACACUUAAUCAUUGUGUAUCCCUCCGUGGUCCUGCUAUUUCUAAAGAUUUCCUUUUCUCUUCUUGAAUAAAAGCCAUUUAACAAUGUGA